ACCUGUCAACGUGUGCGUUUUAACGCUUCGUCGAUUUGGCCAGUGGGUGAAGUUAAGGUCGCUGUUAACGUUAAUGUCCAAGUUAAAACCGCCUCGGGCGGCAGCUGCUUUCAGUCUGCUGCUUCCAGCUGCUUUUGCUUCUGCUUCUGCUGCCGUUUUGGACACAAUUUUUGGCUGCUGCAAGGGUCAUUGCCUAAAUUUCAAUCAACUCUGGUGGCCGGCAGAAAAAAAAAUGGAACAGCCGAGCUGCGCUUGGGGCAAAAGACAAAUUUCAUAUGCCCCAAAAAAAAUUCUGGAGAUCAGGGGAAACAUGAUGAAUAGCCACGGCUUUAUUAUAAUGACCGUUGCAUACUCUGCAUUUUGUGUACCCAGGGAAUAAUAAUUAUAUAUCAGUUUUUCAGCAAACCUCUCAACCAAAUUCGAAUACCCCACAAAUCCUGAAGAGUAAUCCCCAAAAGUGACCCAAAACAGCAGACGGUCGAUCCAGUCAAUUUGGUGGUCCGCUUUGCAUAUGCCAAAACUAAAGAUGACCUGAUCCAGUGGAGGUUGCCAGUGGAUCCAGUUACACGUUUGACACCUGGCCUCACCUGACUGGGUCUGCCUGGGCUCCCGAUCCUCCGAUUUCCCCGAUUCCCCGAUCCCUUUCAUCUGACAUAACUCAAACUGCUGGCGACUGCCGAAAAGAUCAGAGAGUGAUCGAUCCACUGGAGGCUUUGGAUCCUGCUCCUGAGGUCUUGAGCUGGCCACGCGUGCGUCAGAUCGAAUAACCAAACAAAACCAGCGAGAGGGAUUUUUUUUUAGGGGGCCAAGGACCUCCUGCCAGGAUAUGGAAAAACAGCAGUUUGUUUGGCUCUCUGGGUGGUCCACUCGGAUGCUGCUGUCAUCAUCUUUAACGUCGCCGCCGCUUUCGAUGGCAAUGAAAGGCGAAAGGCUAAAACUACACUUAGAGAAAUAUAAGAAAAAUAAAAUAGAAGUGAUGGUACAUUAAGGUAA